CCACGGGGGGGGCAAGCGUUGUCCGGAAUCACUGGGCGUAAAGGGCGUGCAGGCGGUAAGUAAGUCGGAGGUGUAAUCCUAUCGCUUAACGAUAUGGGCUGCCUUCGAUACUACUUAUCUAGAGUGUGGGAGGGGGAAGCGGAAUUCCCGGUGUAGCGGUGAAAUGCGUAGAUAUCGGGAAGAACACCGGUAGCGAAGGCGGCUUCCUGGCCCACAACUGACGCUAAAGCGCGAAAGCGUGGGGAGCAAACAGGAUUAGAUACCCCAGUAGUCC
rnacentral:rRNA from 1 species